GCGGUAUCCUGACCGUACUAAGGUAGCAUAAUCACUUGCCGUUUAAUUGAUGGCUGGAAUGAAUGAAUAUACGAGAGCUCAACUGUCUCAUUUUUACCAAUAUAAAUUGACCCUCAAGUGAAGAGACUUGAAUUUUAAAAAAAGACGAAAAGACCCUAUAGAGCUUUACCUGAACUCUAUAUAUUUUAGAACUAAGGUUUAGUUGGGGCAACUAGAGAGUAUCUAAAACCUCUCUUCUAGUAAAUUGAUAAGAUCCGCUUUUGCGAUAAGAAGAAAAAGCUACCUUAGGGAUAACAGGCUAAUCCUCUUUAAGAGACCAUAUUGACAAGAGGGAUUGGCACCUCGAUGUUGGCUUAGGA
rnacentral:rRNA from 1 species